rnacentral:rRNA from 1 species
GCUUAGAGAGGGGUCAAUGUCCUAUCAGCUAGUUGGCAGGGUAAUGGCCUACCAAGGCUAAGACGGGUAGCCGGCCUGAGAGGGUGGUCGGCCACACUGGGACUGAGACACUGCCCAGACUCCUACGGGAGGCUGCAGUCGAGAAUCUUUCGCAAUGCCCGAAAGGGUGACGAAGCGACGCCGCGUGUGGGAAGAAGGCCUUCGGGUUGUAAACCACUGUCGGGAGUUAAGAAAUGUAAGGGUGUUAACAGCAUCCUUACUUGACUAAGGCUCCGGAGGAAGCCACGGCUAACUCUGUGCCAGCAGCCGCGGUAAUACAGAGGCGGCAAGCGUUGUUCGGAAUUAUUGGGCGUAAAGAGCACGUAGGCGGCCUUGCAAGUCAGUUGUGAAAUCCUUCUGCUUAACGGAAGAACAGCAGCUGAUACUACAGGGCUUGAGUGCGGGAGGG